CUCCGGGUUUGGGCGUGGAUGGUGACCCAUCUACUUGUAUUCAGUCAUCAACUGCUGGAGCACAAAUUUUCUUCCAAUGGUUUCUAGUUGAUCUGGAGAAUAGAUAUGAAGUUGAAUCAUUUAGUUUGAUGCCAUACUCAUCUUGUUGUGCUAAUUCGUUGACAUCAUUUCAAGUUGUAUUGAGGGAUCUGAGUCCAGAUCUUACUGGGGAGACAUCGUGUGUUUGUAAAAAUAAUAUUAAUAUCAAUACAAUGGCUACGGGUACCAUUAUUAAUUGCGAGAUAAAAUGUUCUGGUCGGUUUGUAUACAUUCGUUCAUUUGCGGAAGAAAUUUUGGGAUUUUGUGAAUUUGAAGUUUAUGGGAGACUAAAUGAUCAACCACGACUAAAAGCUGUAUUUUCGUUGAAACCAGUUUAUGUAAUUCAAACUCCGUCUACAGCCAAAGUAACAGUCACUAACGCUAGAAGUUGUUCCGAAAUAUGUCGGAGUGAAACUACAUGUCUUGGUUUUAAUUAUCUAAAUAGCCCAGGGGCAGCUUUCAACUGUGGUUUAAUUAACGGUAUUUUGCAGCCUCCCCUGCCAUCGCCUGAUGAUUUGUGGGUGUUUUAUAUGAUGACUGAAACUCAGUUCUGUUUAUGAUUCAUUUUACUUAACUUACUUAAGUUAUCAGAUCUGCCCAUAUGUAUUUUAGUGCACCGAAAUGGUUAAAUACAGGUCAGUGUAAAUGGUGUUCAACGUCCUGCUAUUUUGUACUAAUGAAGACGGACAGGUUAACGUUAGUGUGACAAUUUUCGAUAAUAUGCGACAUUUGUUCUUGCCGAAGUUAUUGUAUUGAUACCCGGAAGUAUCAAUUGAACAAUGAACGAUUGUAAAAUUAUCAUUGAACAGUAAAAUGCUGAGUUAAGUA